rnacentral:rRNA from 1 species
GACGAACGCUGGCGGCGUGCUUAACACAUGCAAGUCGAACGGUAAGGCCCUUCGGGGUACACGAGUGGCGAACGGGUGAGUAACACGUGGGUGAUCUGCCCUGCACUUCGGGAUAAGCCUGGGAAACUGGGUCUAAUACCGGAUAGGACCACUGCCUGCAUGGGUGGUGGUGGAAAGCUUUUGCGGUGUGGGAUGGGCCCGCGGCCUAUCAGCUUGUUGGUGGGGUGAUGGCCUACCAAGGCGACAACGGGUAGCCGGCCUGAGAGGGUGACCGGCCACACUGGGACUGAGAUACGGCCCAGACUCCUACGGGAGGCAGCAGUGGGGAAUAUUGCACAAUGGGCGCAAGCCUGAUGCAGCGACGCCGCGUGAGGGAUGACGGCCUUCGGGUUGUAAACCUCUUUUAGCAGGGAAGAAGCUUUUGUGACGGUACCUGCAGAAAAAGCGCCGGCUAACUACGUGCCAGCAGCCGCCGUAA